rnacentral:rRNA from 1 species
GUGAAAUUGUUGAAAGGGAAACGAUUGAAGUCAGUCGUACGGACGGGAAAUCAACCUUUCGGGCACAAAUUGGUCCUUGGGGAGUAUUUUCUCGUACCGUAGGUCAGCGUCGAUUUCGAACGUUAUAAAAUGAUUGGAGGAAUGUAGCUUCGAUCAUCGUCGAAGUGUUAUAGCCUCUGGUAGAUGUAACGAACGGGAUCGAGGAUUGCAACGGAUACCCUUCGUGGGCUAUCGGCCUAACUUCUGAUCUGUCGCUCCGGUUUUGAAAGCUCGCUCGCUUACGACGUCGGAGCGUUCGGUCAAAAGGUUACAGCGGAUUAAAUUCGUUAAGGACGCUGACGUAAUGGCUUUAAACGAC